GCCAGUGUGGUGUAGUGGUUUGAAUGUUGGACUAUGACUCUGGAGACCAGGGUUCAUAUGCCUGCAUAACCA